CUUCUUCAACCGUGGAAAGAACAGAAAAUAGCAGCCAUGGAUGAGCUCCAUUCGCCAAGCUUUUAUGGCUUAUAUAGAUGAUGAAAAUUGAGACUUGGACCUAGAACGGAAAGAAAUCGAUUUAUGGACUAGUAUGUCCUUUUCACAUUUGUGGUAUCGAGGUAAGUUCAGUAUGUAAACAAUACCAUGCUAUACAUGUAUUUAAAUGUUAUCAUUACAUGAAUUGUACAGAUAUUAAUGUGUAUGUAAUUAAUAGAAAUAUGAUAAGACAAAGCCUUAAUAGACGAGGAAAAAUCCCGUUUGAACCUUAGGAAUAGAAUAGGAUACGAGUGACAUGUCACUAGGAAUUAUGAGUCUAGAUGACUAGCUCGAGAGUGAGCAUUGAAAUGUCAUGAGAUAUGAGGUAGCUUUAGCUACAAUUGAAGCACUUAUGUGCAAAGGCUUUUCCAGUAUCUAAUUAGUAUUCCAAGUGUUCAACGGGCAAUCCAAGGAAAGAGUUAAUGAUGGUCUCAAUGAGGUAAGUCAUUGGUGAGUAUGCACUCGAGUUAUGUUACGAGUUGUGCAAGUAUGUAUACUAAUCCUAUGAGAAUUCCUUGAUAUGUGAUGAUCUAUGAUGCAUAAUAUGUAUUCUUACCAUGAUGGAUAAAAUGGUGUUGUAUUAAUAUUAUGAACAAUGAUCAUGAAUGAGCAAUUUAGCCUUGACAGAUUUGAGUUACUGCAGUAGUGUAACUUUGAAAAUACACUAAAAAUAGUGGAAAAUGAGUUAGAGGUAGAAUAAAAUAUGGGAUUAAAGCUUAAUGAGUCUAUUUUCACAUGAAAGAAACAGAGGAAGAAAAAGAAUUCCAUAUUGUUUGAUAUGUGAAUUCUUGUGAAACAGGGUCUGAAUGAAUUCGAGAUCCCCUGUUCUUACUUUAGAAAUUCACCAAAAAUUGUACAAAAAUUAUUAAGAGUUAUACCUUACAUUAAUGGAUUCCUUAUUGAGUCUAUUUUUAUGGGGAAUAAACGGCAUGGUCGUUGAAUUUUGUACAGGGAGAAAUUCAGUUUGUAGUGUACAGGGGUCAGAGUGGUCAUACCCUGAAACAGGGGAUACUUUAACUAAUAAACUGUACUAUUUGGCUUAACCAAAAAUUCUUGAAAUUUUAUGGAAAAAAGGAAAAUAAGUCUAGUUUCAGGAAAAAUUAACGGAACUUAAUUCGGAGCUUCGUAGCUCCAGAUAUAAAUAAUUUAGUGACCGUUGCUCGUAAAGACACUUGUAGUGAACUUGAAAAUAUGUUGUAAACAUUGAUAAAACAAGUUAAUGAGUUGCUUAUUGUUUUCAUAUGAACUUACUAAGCUAAAGCUUACCCCCUUCUUUCCCAUGUUUUCUAGAGUUUCCAGGUUAGCUCGGGUUGGAGGCCGUCGAGAUAUUAUCACCCUAUCGAGUUAACGUUAUUUGAGUAAGUAAACUCAAGUGAUUCGAGUCUAUGGCAUGUAUAGGGUUUUAAUGUGAGUAUGUAAUAUUAUGAUUUAGCCAAAGGCGUGGCUUGUUAUUAAGGUAGUAUUAGUCAUGUAAAUUGGCCUAUGUCUGCUAAUGACAUUAUGGGCCCAUAUGAUUAUUCUUAUGCAUGUAUGUUAUUAUCUCUUGUGAUGUGGCUUACAACAUGUAUGCCUAGAGAUUGAAUUGAGAUUCAUUGAUGAGCUAGUAACUAAUGCAGGAUUAAGUGAUUGGUAAAUAGUUAAUAAUGCUUCAUGAAUGGUUUGUGAGGUAAUGAUAGUUAUGUCUAGUAUGUGGUAAUGAUAUGGGCAAAUUCUAUAAUAUUUAUUGCAUAAGAAAAUAACUUUAGCAUAACAUGUUUGUAGAUGUUUAAGAGCUCAUUUAUGCUACGUUGUAUGUUAUUGGAUAAGUAUGUAUCUAUGCAUGUGGUGUGAGAGUGACAAAAGGCUUGAUAAUUAGCCUAUUUUCGCCACACUACCGAGCACAUGGGCGUGUGAAGCCUUAACGCAAGAGAUUUUUCUAAGUUUUUCAUGAGUUCUCGAUUGGGUCCCGAACCGCCUGAAUGCAUGUAUUGGGCCUCGUAAGCUCGCAUAAGGGACAGAUUGCAUGUGAAAAGAAAAGUUUUUAAUUAUUUGAGAUUUCAUGGCCCUGUUUAGUAUGGAAGUGUUACUAAAAGUCAGGUAGCACCUCGAACCCCGUCCCGGCGUCGGAUGCGGGCGAGGGGUGUUACAAAGACGGUACAUGUUCAUGGAAAAUCAUGGCCUCGUUGAGGAAAAAAGACAAGCUUGUGGGAGAUAAAAAAAGUACAAAGGUCCACAUACAUGUGCUGUCGGUGUUUCGGAAGAUCAUCUCAAGAUGAAUUCAUAUAUGUUAGCUACCUUUAUACUACCGACGGAGAAGGCUGAUCCCAGAACUUUAGUGCCGAUCUUAAUUGCUAAUAUUCGUAGCCAGUUAAGGUACACGCCCUCUUAUCGCAAAGCUUGGAUAGCUAAGCAGAAGGCAUUGGAAAAGAUCCAUGGUGGUGGGACGUUUCAUAUAAUGAAGUGUGGCAGUGGUGUCAGGUGCUGGAGAGAUAUGUCCCAGGUUGCGUAACAGACUUUGAAAUGGAACCUGCAUACUACAAUAACCGAUUGCUCCGUAGAUGCCAAGUAUUUAAGCAUUUGUUCUGGAGCUUUAAGUAAUGUUGAGACGUAUUUCUAUAUUACAAGCCAUUGGUACAAUUUGAUGGUACCUUUAUGUACGGUAGAUAUACCCAUCGGCUAUUGCUAGUUGUGACACAGGAUGACAGUGGGAGAAUCUUUCCAAUUGUGCUUGCAAUAACACCAGGGGAGUCAGCUGAUAAUUGGGAGUUCUUUCUUUCUAGGUUAAUGAGGCAUGUCUGCCUCCAACCUAAUAUCUGCGUCAUAUCGGAUAAGGGCACUGGAAUUUUAGCCGCAAUUGAGCGACAGGGAAACUUGUGGCAUUGCACACAUCAUCGAUAUUGCCUAAGGCACGUUGCGUCUAACUACUACGGGCAAUUUCAAUUUACAAAUGAAAAAUGACAAAUGACCAACAUGGGUAUUUAAUAUCUAUUAAUGUAAUUUCGUUUGUAAUAUUGAAUUUAUUUUAAAGUGGUAUGUAAUUUUCGCUAUCAACUUAUAUUGGUAGGGUAUGAGAUAAGUAAGGACCGUUUUAAUGA